CUGUUUUGAAAGAACUUGGUUAACUUUUACAAAACAUAACUUUUCCUACUUGAAUCUUGUAUCUAGCAAUCUCUUAAACCCAUCAAUGGUUGUGGAACUUGUUAGAGUCAAUUCUUACAAAGUUUAGAGGUGCAAACCACCUCUAAACUUUCUGAUUUAUUAGGAUUCAAUACAACCCACAAGUGUUGAAAUCACAUAAGUUUGCCAUAGUUCAUAAGGGUGACCUCGGUAUUCCAUCCUCCAACUUACAACUUUUCACGGGAUUCAAAGGAAGGCUUUGCAAAACCGUUGAUGAUGAUGGGCAUGAUGAAAUCUAGUAGGGAUGACUUUAGAAACUCGUAAUAAAAUGCUAGAUUUGUUAUCUUAUUUUGAUUAAACUUGUUGUAUUUUGAAUUUCCAAAUGCUGUACUUUGAUUUCCAUGUUGUACUUGACAAUUUUCGUUAUGAAAUGAA